GGAGGCUGGAGAGGAGGAGGGAGUAGGGUAGUGGGCGCGGAAAGUGCCUGUUUUCUGCAUUUCCCCCAUUUCUGUUUCGUCCUCAUAGCCUGGGGCCAGGACACUCUGCCCACCUUGGAGCCUAGCAGGACAGAAUACAGGGUGGACUCUACAUUUAAUGCCAGAGGUCUCCACCUUUUGCCGAGAGGUUCCAGGGUGUGUUGGGCAUGCAUUUCUGCAGGAGAGACAUCUGGGGAGGCGCUGUGAAAGUGGCAAGGGAACUUUGGGGGCAGAAAAGGAGAUGCCUGCAGGCCCAGGCUGAGCUGAAGAGUGCCUUGGCUGCUUGCUAGUGGGUUUGCUGUUCUGACCUGUGGGGUGAGGUGGACCCUGGGGGAACCCUGCCUUCUCCACUCACGGCUGCACACCCCCUCCUGUCCUGCUCCAGAACCUCAGUGUUUCCUGAUGGUGUGGCUCUGAGUACUAGUGAACUGGCUUGGUUUGUUUUUUUCUGGGCCACCUUUCUUCCUGGGUUGGUUCAAAGGGGAGGCCAGGCCACCUCCCACUGUGGCAUCCAAGGGAUGCGUCUAUAGGCUCUGAGGCAAUGGCAGCGUCUGCCCCUGAGCCCGGCUCUGGGGUGUCAGCAUGGUCAUCCUAUGUGGAAUGAGAAACAGGGAAGAAGUGGGGCCUGAAGGCGAGUUGGGAUGCCGGCAUGCAGGUGGACAUUUCACUACAGCACUGUGUCUCCUCUGCAUGGUGGGGAGGGCAGGGUGCCCUCCUUGGGUGGAUCCCGAGUCCCUGCCCCCAACCACAAAGCCCCCUUUAUAAUAAACAUUCGGUGGCUAGGAGGACAGUCCUGGACCCAGGCAUCUCUGAUUUACUUUCUAGCGUGCUGGAUGGCUCCUCAUUCACGGUCUCUUCCGCUCCCAGGACCACAGUGGGUUAGCGUCCAAGGGCCACUUUUAAUGGAAAGGGCUUUGGUCUCUGUAGUCCUAAGGGAGGUCGAGGCAACUAUUAGGUCCGCUUGGGAAGCCAGGAAGGCCUACUUGGUCCUAAGGCCAGCUGGGUUCACCCUGAAUGCCGUUGUUAGUCACCUGCUGUCUGUAGGGCUGUGGUCUGGGAGAAUCCUGUCCUUACCCAACUCUGCCUGGGGACUUUCUCCUGCAUUAAGGGGACAGCAGUCUGGCUUAGCUCUCAGGGCAGAAAGAAGGGCAGUGUGGAGUUUUGUGUCCCCAGCAGCUUUGCCACAUUUGACCCUGGGCUAAGGGGGGCCAGGAGGAGCAGCAGGAUCUUUUUCUCAGAAGAGUACCACCUGGUCUGUGGGUAGAGCCUGGACCACAGGCCCCUGUGCCCACAGCUCUUAGCCCUGUGGAGUGCCCCUGUGUGGGGCGGGGAAGGACUUUGGAAGCUGUGGGAGAUGUUGAUGCCGUUGCUGUGGAUACCUAGAGUGAGCCAGGGAUGGGGUGGGGGCAGGGUGGAAGGAGAGGCGUGCUGUGGACUCCUUGCUCUUGGAACAUUCUCCAUGCCCAGAAGCCCCCUCUCCCUGGUCCCCAGUGCCCAGUACAGUCAGCAGUGUGCCUCGGGGGGGGGGGGGGGUCUGGCCCCUUUCCAGCCGAGGAGCUCAGACCUGGAAGAGGUCCCCCCUCUGGGCACUGCAGCCUGCUGAGCAGUGUUCCUGGCUUCCGCCCAUUCCACGCCAGGAGCAUCCCAGUUGUGGCAACUACUAGUGUCCCUGGAGGGGUUUGCAGGGUCACCCCCUGUUGCACUCUUCUCUAAGGUCCCAAUUUACCUAAGUCUGAAAGGUAUCACUGAGUGCUGUGUGCCAAGGCUGUGCAAGGCCCUGGGGGACAAAACCGGUCCCUGUCCUAACCAUUGAGCUCCAUUCCCAGCCCUUUUCAUUCUUUAUUUUUAUUUUAAGAUAGAGUCUUGCUAAUUUGUCCAGUCUGGCCUUGACCUUGUGAUCCUCCAGCUUCAGCCUCCUGAACUGGUAGGAUGACAGGUGUGUGCUGCCAGGCCAGCUUGUCCCAGGACUUGUGAAACCUCGCGGAGGGAGGGAGAGCUGUGGAGAACAAGGCUCCCAGAGGAGCGGGUUUCAGACCUGCGGCUGGCCUGGGUGGGUGGGGCAGGAGGCUGGGUUUCCCCGUGGGAGGAGUGGGCUGGGCUUGGGCAUGGAUUUUGAGGUGGGCAGGUGCAGGGCAGGCAAGGUGAAGGGCUGUCUGAUCCCAAGGACGGGGCUGGGGAGGCAGGCUUGGCUUGGCAGAGGAAAAUCCGUUUAUGGAGAAGGGAUUAGGGU
rnacentral:lncRNA from 1 species